ACGCCUAAAAAUCUAGGAGGGGACGAUCAGCGCCGCAAUACACAAAACAACCCCCACCCCUGACUUCAUCUUCUUCAGCUGAACAAUACAGAAAAAACGAAGCCUAGACCCAAGAUCAAAUCGGCCGUUUUCUCUUCUUCUACACAAAAACUUGAAGAGACCUAAAAAGAAAAUGAGGAAGCAACCGUUGCUUCUUCUUUGACACACUGAACCAAAACCCUUUACACAACACAAAUGGAAAACAACAAACAAAAACUCCAAAACAAGAACUGAAGAAUGACCUUCCACACCUACACAAAGCAGCCAUCGCUCGUCGCCACCCACAUCGCCGGAAAAUCAACAACGACCACCUCUGACCCCAUUGCCGGUGAACCAAACCACACCCUUCAUCUUCUCCUUCUUCAACCUAAAACAACCUCACCCCAGCUCACUAUCGCCGCUGUUUCUUUCCCUUCCUCCACCCUCUACUGUCUUUGUAUCGUCGGAGUCGCAUCGUCGACGAUGAACGAGUAGAAAACAGUCCACUGUUUCAUCACCAUUGUUCUCGUGUGCUUUACUUCUAUGUCGGAUGAGUGUAGAUCUAACAAGUUCUGGAUUUUGUGACGUUUUUGUGCUGAGUUUGGCCAGAAUCAGUUCUUUGGCAUUCCUCCGCGUGUGUCGUUUGGCUGUGGUUCCAAUAUCGCCAUCGUUAUGGUAGUAGCGUCAUUGGUUCCGGCGAGUGUCGAGGUUUGGAUCGUCGUUCCGUCGAGGUUUCCAUUUUGGUCCGGUGAUUAAUUUCGUUUUGUCUGCGUGAAGAUUCAAUUUUUCUCAUACAGGUGUGGAUCUACUUACCGAAAUUUGAGCAUGACAGAUACCCCCAAAACUACUACAUUCAGGAGCUGCCUGAGGAGCUUUUUUUUGUUUUAGAGUCUAUUGUUCAUGUUAUACUUUCUAGUCCUGUAUAGUAGUAUUCAGUCAUUUAGUUGAUUUUUGAGUCUGUCAUAGUCUAGUUAAGUUUGUCAGUCUUUUGUUAUUAUUUCCUAUUUUGUAUUUGAAAAAUGUAUUAUAAAAUCCAAAAAAAAGGAUAUUUUGCGUUUUUGUAUUUC